AUUUAUAUAGUUUAAACAAAACCUGUCAUUUUCAAUGACAAAAUGGAGAAUAUUUCCCCUAUAAAUA
rnacentral:tRNA from 1 species